UACAGCUGUUCACUUAAUACCACCAUCGUGGUUUCCAACAACCAGACACUUCUAAUUCUUCCGACAUUUAGAGAGAAAUAAAUUUCCUGGUUUGUAUCAGUUUCGCCUGAGUCACAGGGUAAAUGUCAGCGCUUUUGUUCACAAGAAAGAGAAACAAGAAAAGUAUCUGUAUGUCAGAAUUUUUAUAAGAUGUAGGUUAUUUAUCCUCGCGAGAACUAACAAAAUGUAUCUGAGGAUUCUUUCACUCAUCUGCUUGUCAUCUGUACAGUUGUCAGAGUCCAUGACACUCCAAAUCGAAGGAAACCAAACCAGUUUUACAUUUCCGUUGGGAGUUACGUCACAGAUCGAGUUCUACGUUCGCAGCGAUGAUUAUUUUCGAAUUUUUGUCCAACACAAGGCCGUGGAGAAGGACAAUUACAAUACGAUGUGUGUUGUGACACAAUCAGCAAGUAAAGUCUGUAAUACCACUAACAGCAUCUGCCGAUGUCCUGAAGACCCUGACGAUGCUUUCAUCUUAAAUAAAACUUUCCUGCAGAGUGAUGCCGGCCUGUGGGUGUUCUGGCCUUGGCAACAAAACAACAUCUCUAAGACAGUCAAUGUUAGCAUUAGUGAUUCCGCCUUGUGGACACAAUCGCCUUUUGUGUUAUCGACAUCACAAGCCCUCCGUGAGAGAAAUAUAAUUUUCGACAAAUCCCUGACAUUGCAAAUCGAAGGAAACAAAACCAGUUUUACAUUUCCGUUGGGAGUUACGUCACAGAUCAAGUUCUAUGUUCGCAACGAAAAGGAUUUUCGAAUUGUUGUCCAACACAAGGCCUCGGAGAAGGACAAUUACGAUACGAUGUGUUUUGUGUAUCAGUCAGCAAAUAUAGGAUGUAAUACCAGUAACAACAUCUGCCGAUGUCCUCAGGACCCUGACGAUGCUUUCAGCUUGAAUAAGACUUUCCAGCAGAGUGAUGCCGGCCUGUGGGUGUUCAGGCCUUGGCUACAUCACAGCAUCUCAAAGACAGUCAAUGUUAGUGUCGUGGAUUCCGGCUUGGGGACAAAAUCACCUUUUAAAUUACAGACAUCACCAGUCCUUCGUGAGACAACAAGAGUCCCAAAGGAUGUACUCAGCCAGACAACCAAAACGUCUGCCAUAUCAACAAGCCAAUCGCAGCUGACAACGAAAGAUACAACUAGCAUCGCCAUCAUCGUCACGCAGCUGACAAAGACAGAAAAAACAAACAUCCCCAUCAUCGUCGAGCAGCUGAUAAAGACAGAUGUAACUAGCAUCGCCAUCAUCGUCGUGCUGAGCUUCAUCACGCUCUUGGCCAUCGUCUUGACCUCGGUAGUCUGGAGACAUCAAGGUAUUAUCACGAGGCUGCGCCGACCUCCAGUCAUCCGUGAGUAAACAGAGAAAUUAAGGGAACAUGAUGUGUGAUAUGUUGUAGAUGUCCGUUAAGUACUAUGACGUCAUUAUGACAUCCGGGAUGUUAUAAUGACAAUUGUGACAUUUCGUUGAUGCCCUCGUCAAGUGAACUUGUAUUAGAGGUUUAUCACUGGAAAUAGAAACAUCAGGAAUAUUACUUGGACUAUUUUGCUUAAUCUGUUAGUAUUUAAGUAGCUGUGAUAUUAUUGUCAACUCUCGUGCGAGGUAAUUUGGUUGAUGCGCGCCGCUGGGUGUAGUGGAACGGAUAAAGUAUCCAGUCUCUGGAUGAACUAUCCCUUACUUGACAGCUCAUGUUCCGCGAUGACAACACGACCUUGCGGGUGAUGCUGUCACGUGACUCAUCCUCUCUCUCUCAUCCCAUCCUCUCCUUUCACUCUCCUUCUCCCCAAUAUCUCUCUUCUAAAGUGUGUGUCUCGCUGUGUAUACCUGUGUGUUUGUGUAUGUGUCUCUGGGUGUGUUCAUAGAGGCAAGAAACGCCACAAACUAAGAGAUAAAUGACCAUCAAUAACUCGUAAUUCUUGACCUUUUCAUGCGGAGUAAAUCAUUUUCGCUUGGUUUGAACUUGAUUUACCUGCAUUAGAUUGAUUAAGUACUGUAACGGUACACACUAGUACGACAGAAUGUUGACAAGUUACAGCCAUUGUGCCGCUGAAAGGAGAGAAAAUUUACCCAGAUACAUCACAGACACCUAAAGCCAUGUCAAAGUCAAUGUACACCCACAGGGCUGCCUGCAGACUACCUCUCUGAAAGACUAAUGACUUCACAAGUCGUUGGAAGGAAAGAUGUGUAAAUCCACCGAUACAGCACUUUCAAGAUGUCCAACUAUUCAACUACACAUCAUUUUGUG
rnacentral:misc_RNA from 1 species